rnacentral:lncRNA from 1 species
AAAAGAAAAGCGCAGACGUCACACGGCAUCGGCGGGAACGAGCUCAGUGGAAAAUGGCAUCUGGCUAAAAAGUGGACAAUGGAUACCUGGGGCCAAUUAAGAGAAACACAAGAUUCCUGGUCAUGUUUUAUUACCCUAAGGAAGUCACAAGGCCAAGUAUCCAAUAGUGCCUACCUAAGAUCCCAGAAUAUAAUAGCUACUCAGCAAAUCUUGAAUAAUUUUUGAGUCCUCAUUAAACAGUAAAGGAAGAGAAUAAAGAGUGUGGGUGCCGAUUACAUUUUAAAUCAAACAGGACUGUAUACAAGAACAUGAAAAACAUGACAAGAAGUGGAAUUAAUGAGGCAAGAAAUAAGAAAAUAGAGAAGAUGCUGCUUAAGAUAUACAAACAUGAAAAGAUGAAAGGAAAGAAAAUUUUAG